CACACAGAGCCUGAAGAGGAAGGAGGAGCCAAACAGGAAACAGCAGUUUUAAGCACCGUUGAGUCUUUAUGUGGCAAAUGAACGUGGGCUGCAUGGUGGCAAAUAUGAAUAACUACCAGCAGAGAAAAAGGAAUGUAUACAAGGGAUUCACAGACAGGAACUGACCAUUAUCGUGUGUGAGGGGAACUUCUCCCUGACGUCUCUGACAAAGUGGACAAAGUGCUCAGAAUAACCGUUUGCUACGUCCACGCAGAUGUACUUCAGCUGCGGCACCGCCUCCACGACGGCCGAAAUCUUCUCAAAGUCA